rnacentral:lncRNA from 1 species
AUGUACGGGGAGAAAUGUGCAACUGGAACGUGUCAUUCGCCUUUCAGAAGGACUGAGGCGGAGGUCCUGGAGGCGGAGGCCAACCUGGAGGUCCUGGAGUCGAUGGGCCUGGAGGCGGACUACCUGGAGGUCCUGGAGGCGGAUUGUGGAGACCAUCCUGGAGGUGGCGUCCACAUGACGGCGGUGGCCAACCUGGAGGGCCUGGAGGUGGUGGCCAACCUGGAGGGCCUGGAGGCAACGGCGGGCCUGGAGUCGGUGUGCCUGGAGGCGGCCAACCUGGAGGUCCUAGAGGCGGCCAUCCUGGAGAGCCUCGAGGCGCCGGCGGAAGCCAUCAUGGAGGCGGCCAACCUGGAGGGCCUGGAGGCGGCCAACCUGGAGGGCCUGGAGGCGGCCGGCCUGGAGGCGGCCAACCUGGAGGGCCUGGAGGCGGCCAACCUGGAGGGCCUGGAGGCGGCCAACCUGGAGGGCCUGGAGGCGGCCAGCCUGGAGGGCCUGGAGGCGGCCAGCCUGGAGGGCCUGGAGGCGGCGGUUGUGUCCAACCUGGAGGUCCCGGUGGUGGAGACCAACCUGGAGGUCCCGGCGGUGGAGACCAAUCUGGAGGGCCCGGCGGCGGCGGCGGCGUCCUGGAGGGCCCGGCGGCGUCCUGGAGGGCCCGGCGGCGGCGGCGGCGUCCUGGAGGGCCCGGCGGCGGCGGCGUCCUGGAGGGCCCGGCGGCGGCGGCGUCCUGGAGGGCCCGGCGGCGGCGGCGUCCUGGAGGGCCCGGCGGCGGCGGCGUCCUGGAGGGCCCGGCGGCGGCUGCUCCUCAUCCAAAGAAAUGAGGCGACGUUGCGGAGGUCCAGGCGGUUGGCCCGGUGGAGGUCCUGGAGGAGACGGUCCCGGCGGUGGAGGUCCAGGCGGUCCCGGCGGUGGAGGUCCAGGCGGUCGGCCCGGUGGAGGUCCUGGAGGAGACGGUCCCGGCGGUGGAGGUCCUGGCGGUCGGCCCGGUGGAGGUCCUGGCGGUCGGCCCGGUGGAGGUCCUGGAGGAGGCUGGGGGAUCCGGCGGUGUUUAGCUCCUCAUCCAUGGAAGGGUUGAAGGAGUCACUGGGGAUGAAGAUCACUGCUCAGGGGCUGACGCCCCCCCCCCCCUCAUCUUUCCGGAGAAGGUACAUAAAUCUACAGCUGAUGUGA